UCAGUGUAGCACUUCUCUUUGUUACCUACGACAUCAAAAGACUCCUAGAAAAUUUGUUUAGUUUACUCAUUUUAGGUUUUAUUUUAUUUUAUUUUCGUUUUACCAUUGAAUGACGUUUUCGUUUUUGUUUUUUGUUUUUCCUGAAAUUUAAGCAAAUUGUUUAAAAAUAAAUUUUUUUUUUUUUUUUAAAAGAGAGGAAUAAUUUCAACGAGCGUAUAAAGAAUGAAUUAACAACACUGAGACAAGCAUACGUAAGGUGUAGAAUAAAGCCCAAAUAUUUGGGAGUUCAAAUGCGUAAACUAGGCCCAGUCUCCUUGGGCCCAUUUAACAGGUUGUUCAUAUAGCCGUUGUGACGGCAAGCACAGUAACCUGUUACCACAUCAGUUUCAGAAGCCCAUUGGUAACGGCUAGAAACCCUUGUUGACAUUGAGGCAGACGUAGAUACAGUGAGUAGCUUUCUUCUAAUGGAGUCCAUGGUUCUGUUCAGAACAGAGUUUUGUGUAGUAGAAGAAGAACCCUUAAGGACCCUAGCAAGUCGUUCGAUCCAGAGGUGAUAAACUGUUGCUGAUAAACCCAAUUUGUUGAUGGAGUUGGAGCAAUUUUUUUAUUUUCUAGUGAUGAGAUGCCCAUUGGCUAAGUUCAAGCUAACUAUGAUGUCCGGUGUGAAAACUACACACCGAUUGAAUGAAGUUCCAAAUUGGGGGAAGAGAAAGGGGCAAGAGAAGAAAAGUUGAUCUAGGGUUUCAAGAGGUUCAAGGCAUAGAGAGCAGUGUCUUGGCUCUUCUGAUCAAGACUUGGAAGACGAUUCUGAACCGUGAGCCAGGGAUAAAUUUUUGUUGAGGAUGGAGAUUGAGUUCCAUACAAUGUGUGAUCAGUCGCCUGAGGGUUGAGGACGAGAGUGGUAUUGAAGGGUGUGACAUCCCCUAAAUCUAUAGACACGUUUUGAGUAAAACAGUGAGUACUGGAGAGUGUGCAAAGCGGACAAUAUCUACACUCGUGAUUGAGGGUGUGUUUGAGGGAAAAUUUCCAGUUUGAUGAUGAAGUCCAGGCAUUACAGUUAGCUUGUAAUGGAACUGGGGAAGGUCGAAGCCAUGGAUUCACCAUUUCCAAUUGAUUUCUUGAUGAAGAGUUGGAAAAAGGGGCCAAGUUGGAGAAGUUUCCACCAACACCAGGAACAUUUUUGAAGAGUUUUGAUUUGCCAGAUGCUUUUUCCUCUGAUCAGGGCCACGGGUAAUAAGCAGGAGCAUUUCCUGGAGCACGUGGAUUAGUCAUUGCUGGAGGAUGAGCAGGAGCCUUACUUGGGGCAAGAGUGUGAGCCUUUGCUGGUGAAUAGGCGGGAGCAUUACUUGGGGAAUGAGGAUGAGUCUUUGCCGGUGAAUAGGCAGGAGCGUUACUUGGGGAACGAGGAUAAACCUUCGCUGGGGAAAGAGCAGGAGCCUUACUUGGGGCAUGAGUAGAGGCCUUUACCGGGGGAUGGGCAGGAGCCUUACUUGGGGAACGAGGAUGAGCCUUUGCUAGGGAAUGGGCAUGAGGGAGAUGAGAAUGAGCCUUUGGGGAAUGGGCGUGAGGGGGAUGGGAAUGAGCCUUUGGGGAAUGGGCAGGAGCCUGUCCUGGAGCAUGGGGAUGAGCAGGAGCCUUACUUGGGGCAUGAGGCCAAGCCUUUGUGGAGGGAUGGGUUGGAGCCUUACCUGGGGCAUAAGGAUGAUCAGCCUUUGCCAGGGAAUGGGCAGGAACUUUUACUGGGGCAUGAGAUGGAGCCUUGACUGGGAAAGGGUCAUAGGCAUGCUACAAAGAUCAACAAAUUAAAAAAUUAGAUCAAUUCUAUUGCUUGAUUACAUCAGUCUUAUGGGACUUUGGCAUGAGACUGAAUGCAAUAUUUUAUCAAAAUAAUUGCUUGGUUACACUAACUAGUUUGAAAAAUGAUAAAAUUUAUUGGCAAAAAAAUUCUAUGCUUGAAAAUUAGUGAACUGACUCAUUUUCAUUUCCUAAUAAAGUCUUGAUUUUGAUCCAUAAACAUUGUAAUAUACUCUGUACAAAUUAAAGUGUCAAUGCAGUGAUAAAAGUAACAAAGCCCUGUCUACCUUUCAAAUAAUAAGCCAAAGUAUAAACAUAUAAACAACCAUUAAGGCAGGAGUGUUUGUUUUGAAUUACCUGUGGGUCAAUUUCCUCUUCCACAGCUGAAACCUACAAAGGCAAAACUAUAUUAAUGAGAAACAAAUAAAUUAGGAAAAAUCAAGGGAAAGAAAGACUAGGAAAAAGUAUGCAUGUAUAAUGUAGAGAGGGGAAGGAACAAUAAUUUGUGAUUUGAAGAAGAUAUUUGUGUAUGGAUUAGACUUAGGUCCUAGACAUUGAACAGGCUGCAAAUUUUAUCAGUUGUGGUGUCUUGUGUGCAUCUUGUGUGUGUGUGUGUGUCUGUGGCAUAUCAUAUACCGCUGUUAUGACGAAAAGCAUAUUGGCUAACAAAACGAUAACAGCUUUCAUCGCCAUUGCUAAUCUGGAAGGAAAGAACCAAAGAUUGAUGAAGAGUUGUGUUGGCUGAUAGAUUAGACAGCAAUGAACUGAGGUGAAGCUCAAUAGAGAUUUGGUGAAUGCAGUGGAGAAUGAUUGCUCUGCUUAGUUAUGGCAUUUGAGGCUUGGACACGGGUCAGAAGGGAGUUGACAUUCUAGCCAAGAAGCGGCUUCUUCCAGAUAUGGAAGGAAAAUGUAUAAGCUACCUAUUCUUGUUUUAAUUGGUGGGGGCUUAGGUGCAGAAACCGGUGGUUUCACCGGAGGGGCAGAAACUGGUGGCUUAACUGGAGGAGCAGCAGGUGGUGCUUUAAUUGGGACA